rnacentral:lncRNA from 1 species
UAGUCACCAAAGGGCGCUUGGCCCAGUGGAUGAGGGUUGACCCCAUGACCCCAAGCCAAGGGUUCAACCCCUAGCGCCCCCCAUUUUGUGUUUUCUCUUUUUAUUCUUUUCUUAUGUUUAAACCAUUUAUUUUCUAUUUCAUUUUAUUUUUUUCACCACCCAUUUUAGUUCUGAUUAAAAUAUUUCCAACAUAAACUUGGUUUAUUU